rnacentral:misc_RNA from 1 species
AUGUCUACUCUUCUAGUGGGAAUGGAUACCAGAACCGGCACAGUAAAUCUCCAAAACAAGAUGUGGAGGAAAUAGAAGCUUACAGAGCAUCGUUUGGUUUCAGUGCGGAUGAAAUUAUAACUACUACACAGUAUGUGGAGAUAUCUGAUGUAAUGGAGGAUUCCUUUACUAUGAGACCUUUUACCUCAACUAGUCUAUCAGCAG